GUUCUGGGGAGGAUGCCAACUCCAGCUCCGAGGCCUGGCAGGUGUCCCUGCAUACAAAGCUGGCUUCCACUUCUGCGGGGGCUACCACAUCAGCGAGGACUGGGUGGUCACCGCUGCCCACCAGGGGUCAGCGUGGUGGCCGGGAUCGUGUGGUGGCCAGGGCGUCUGACCUUGGCUCUCACCCGGAGGCCAUCCAGGUGCUGAGGAUGGCUGGUGACUCCGACAGCCCUUGCCUGCCAGGAUGGAGCCUGGACUCUGGAGGGCAUCGUGUCCUGGAGCAGCACCAGCACCUCCUGUUGUCACCAGGCGUGGAUGCCCGCAUCAUGAAAUUCAUGCCU
rnacentral:lncRNA from 1 species